rnacentral:tRNA from 1 species
AUUUGAGUAGUUUAAAUAAAAUUUUGAUUUGUGGUAUCAGGGAAGUAGUAUACUACCUCAGAUU